rnacentral:rRNA from 1 species
AUGGCAGUAUGGGUGAAAGAUAAAUUUGUUUUGCAUGAAAAUACCAAAGCUAGCAGUCAGAAAACCCAAGAUGAGGAUCUGAAGUCAUGCACUCCAGAUUCAUCAAUCCAGUAUGAGACCCUUGGACUUGUUAGUGAAGGUUGGAACACUUAUACAUGA